rnacentral:rRNA from 1 species
GACGAACGCUGGCGGCGUGCUUAACACAUGCAAGUCGAACGAAGUGGCGCACGGGUGAGUAACGCGUAAUCAACCUGCCCUUCACAGGGGGACAACAGUUGGAAACGACUGCUAAUAACGCAUACUGAAGGAGGGGAUUGCGUCGGAUUAGCUAGUUGGAUGGGUAACGGCCCACCAAGGCGAUGAUCAGUAGCCGGGUGGAGAGGAUGAACGGCCACAUUGGGACUGGGACACGGCCCAGACUCCGACGGGAGGCAGCAGGGGGGAAUCUUCCGAAAUGGGCGAAAGUCUGACGGAGCAACGCCGCGGGAGGGAUGACGGCCUUCGGGUUGUAAAGCUCUGUUAAGCGGGACGCGGUACCGGAAUAGAAAGCCACGGCUAACUACGUGCCAGCAGCCGCGGUAAUAC